rnacentral:rRNA from 1 species
AUUGAACGCUGGCGGCAGGCCUAACACAUGCAAGUCGAGCGAGCGGCGGACGGGUGGGUAAUGUAUGGGGAAUGCGCGCUAGAGGGGGAUAACAACAGGAAACGGUAGCUAAUACAGCAUACAAUCGGAUAACCCAUAUGUGAGUAGCUAGUAGGUGUGGUAAUGGAUCACAUAGGCGACGAUCACUAGCUGGUCUGAGAGUUUGAUAAGCAACACUGGGACUGAGACACGGCCCAGACGCGUACGGAGGCAGCAUUGGGGAAUAUUGCACAAUGGGAGCAAGCCUGAUGCAGCCAUGCCGCGUGUAUGAAGAAGGCCCUAGGGUUGUAAAGUACUUUCAGUCGGGAGGCGUUACCGACAGAAGAAGCACCGGCUAACUCCGUGCCAGCAGCCGCGGUAAUAC